AUUGAACGCUGGCGGCAUGCCUUACACAUGCGAGUCGAACGGUAACAGGUCUUCGGAUGCUGACGAGUGGCGAACGGGUGAGUAAUACAUCGGAACGUGCCCCGAUCGUGGGGGAUAACGGAGCGAAAGCUUUGCUAAUACCGCAUACGAUCUACGGAUGAAAGCAGGGGACCGCAAGGCCUUGCGCGGACGGAGCGGCCGAUGGCAGAUUAGGUAGUUGGUGGGAUAAAAGCUUACCAAGCCGACGAUCUGUAGCUGGUCUGAGAGGACGACCAGCCACACUGGGACUGAGACACGGCCCAGACUCCUACGGGAGGCAGCAGUGGGGAAUUUUGGACAAUGGGCGAAAGCCUGAUCCAGCCAUGCCGCGUGCAGGAUGAAGGCCUUCGGGUUGUAAACUGCUUUUGUACGGAACGAAAAGACUCUUUCUAAUAAAGAGGGUCCAUGACGGUACCGUAAGAAUAAGCACCGGCUAACUACGUG
rnacentral:rRNA from 1 species